AGAAUUCUGAAUCCGUGUCGAGAUUUUGUCAAAUACUAGACCGCCAGGAUUGAUGAGACUAUCGAGAUAAGUGAAGCA
rnacentral:pre_miRNA from 1 species